AUGUAUCUACCAGGUAUAUCUACUGGAUGUAUCUACCAGGUAUAUCUACUGGAUGUAUCUACCAGGUAUAUCUACUGGAUGUAUCUACCAGGUAUAUCUACAGGAUGUAUCUACCAGGUAUAUCUACAGGAUGUAUCUACCAGGUAUAUCUACUGGAUGUAUCUACCAGGUAUAUCUACUGGAUGUAUCUACCAGGUAUAUCUACUGGAUGUAUCUACCAGGUAUAUCUACUGGAUGUAUCUACCAGGUAUAUCUACUGGAUGUAUCUACCAGGUAUAUCUACUGGAUGUAUCUACUGGAUGUAUCUACCAGGUAUAUCUACAGGAUGUAUCUACAGUUGAAGUCGGAACACCUUAGCCAAAUACAUUUAAACUCAGUUUUUCACAAUUCCUGACAUUUAAUCCUAGUAGAAAUUCCCUGUCUUGGGUCAGUUAGGAUCUGAGUCAGGUUUGUAGACCUCCUUGCUCGUACAUGCUUUUUCAGUUCUGACCACAAGUGUUCUAUAGGAUUGAGGUCAGGGCUUUGUAAUGGCCACUCCAAUACCUUGACUUUGUUGUCCUUAAGGCAUUUUGCCACAACUUUGGAAGUAUGCUUG
rnacentral:lncRNA from 13 species